CAAUCGCAUGAGUGCUGCUGUUUGACCGAGGAAGAAUAAAGUAGUCGUGCAGGCCGUCUUGACCCUGUCUACAUGCUUAAACCACUAAGUUGCUGUCAUCUGAUUGCAUUAAGCAGUCGAACGGGUGUACCUAAUGAAGUGAAAGCCAGGCUCAGUAGCCCGACAUUGAACCAUCAGAGCCCCCACUCUUGAUUGCCAUACAACAAACAUUGUACUCAACCCCUACAGCACCUCCUUCAGGAGGUGGGCCCACGUCAUCUCUUUGGUCUCCAUCGGCCCAGCCACCAGGCAUGUUCCCUCAACCUCUCUCCCCAGGCUUUCUUCCAGGGUGCAACCCUGGUAACGAUAUCCCAGGCAGGGUGGAAGGGUCCCUUGAUAUCUUCUCUCUCAGAGGGAUUAACAGUUCCAGGAAUGUCCUAGUGUGACCCCUUGGGGCAGAUAAAGAAAAGAAAUUCUUGGAUUGGCUGUAAUUCACUGCAGGCUUUAUUAUUUGUCAAAUAAUUAGGUAAAAACUCCAGUUCGGUCGAGUUUGGGGAGGCCUAACAGAUGGCAGUCAGGCUAUAGCUAUGUCAACUUUCUGGGAAUUCUGCAAAGAGAAACUCCUCCACAGAGAUGUGAAAGACUUAUUGGCAGUUAUUGCAAAAUCUUGAUUUCAGUUCUUGUUGCUGAAUGUGGCACAACUAGUUAUUAUGUUUAGGGGGCUUUUUUUUUUAUCACAUAAGACCAGGUAGGUUUGCAUAACUUUUUUCCUUUGAUAAAUGAAGUAAUAAUUUAAAAAUUGUAUCUUGAAUUUACUUAAGUUAUCUUUGUGUAAUAUUUAAAUAUGAAACAUGUAAGUGUGACAAAUAUCCAAAAAAGAAAAAAAGAAAGAAAGA